rnacentral:lncRNA from 1 species
CUCUGGACUGAGCUCCUCCUCGCUGCCCCUCAGUGGUGACAGCAGGUCGGUGCAGCAGAGAAGAAGAGUCCUCAGCUCUGUGGUCGCUGCCUCCAUCAGAAGCUACAGCUUUCAUCGUGGCCUCCAGCUGCUGUGAAAUGACACGUUUAUAAUAUCUUGAAUAAUAUGAGAGAAUUUCAGAGCUGUAUUUAUUUAUAUCACACUUUACAAAGUACAAAGAAUUAAAGUCUGAGGCAGGUGAAACUUUAGACACCAAACCAGAGACGUGUUGGUCCGUCUCCGUCGUGUCUGUGGCGCUCAGACCAGGUUUAUUGUUUCAUACGCGUCAGUUUUUGAGUUAUUCAUCAAUGUGAGCAGCCUUCUUUAAAACAAGUCUUCAGUAGGAAGCAGAAAGGAAUCAACAGGAAUAUAUUUAAAUAAAAAAUAACUGAAGACAGCUGCUCAGUGUAGUUUGGAAUCAAACAAACAGGAGGACAGAGUGUGUUGGGGACUAUUUUCAGCGGCGGAUGAAUCCACAUUCAGAGGGAAACGUCCACAUCAUCUGUAAUAACAUCAAAGUUCAACAAGAGUCAAUGUGGUCGUGUGAACGGCAGGAAACAACAGUGUGGAGUUCAUUUAGAUUUAAACUUUAGAUUCAAAGUUCAAACGAAGAUGAGUAAAAACUGUCUGCUAAAGUUAGCUUAGCAUGCUAACUGAUAAAGGUCAUGGUGGUAACCCAGCAACAGCUUCAGUUGGUGAUCGUUGGAUCUUCUGUCGUCGUGUUGAGCGACAUGUCAGACCGACGACUGCUGAGAGCUUCAGUGACACAGCAGCUCGAUGAUGAUGAUGAUGAUGAUGAUGAUCUGCAGAACUUCCAUCAUAGUUGUUUGAAGCGUUUGGAGACGGGGGGGCAGCGAGCGAUGAUGAGCGAAGUCAACUGACAGAAAAUAACCAACGACAGAAAGAACUGGAUGCAGCUUUCAACCCUAAAGUUGUGCGACACAGAUCAGGUUUGUACAUUUUUAAUGUUAUUCUCACUUUCUGUGUUAAUUGUGUGCUGUUGGUCACAUCUUCACUGCAGUUUGAAGCUAGUUUGUCAAACAUCUACAUGUGUUUUUUGUGUUUGUUUAAGUGUAAUUCUUUUGCGUCUGUUAGCAUCUGACUAGCUCAGCUGAGGGUUUGAAAGUGUUCAGCUCAGCCAGAACUCACAGGGGUUUAACAGGCAGCUGAUUGAACCUGAUGGCUCCAUCAGAACCAGCACAGGUUCUGCAGGACAGCUGCCAAACAGCAGCUAGAUCUGGUGUCUGAUCAGUCAGCUAGCUUAAAUCAGCCACACCGCCAGUUUAAGCUACCUGAGAAGACACAGACAGGUGGUAACCUAGCAACAGCAGCAGUUAGUGGCUGUGAGAUGGAGACUCAGUUUUUACUGCUGAGUAACUUUAAAGCAUCUGAAAAGUCAUUUCACAGCCUGAAACGUUUACACUGGUCGCAUGUGACAAAGUACAUUUACUCAAGUACUUGUAAUGAGUAAUACUGAGGUACUUGUACUGCACUCUGUGUAAAGCUGCUCUGUUGUCAGUGUUUCUUCCUGUCUAACAGAGAAAGGGG